GACGAACGCUGGCGGCGUGCCUAAUGCAUGCAAGUCGAACGCAUUCUUCGGAAUGAGUGGCGCACGGCUGAGGAACACGUGACUAACCUACCCCGGUGUGGGGGAUAACGGGUCGAAAGACUCGCUAAUCCCGCAUACGAUCCGCCUCGGCGGAGGAAAGCGGUAACGCGCACUGGGCGGGGGUCGCGUCCCAUUAGAUGGUUGGUGUGGUAAUGGCGGACCAAGACGCUGAUGGGUCUCUGGUCUGAGAGGACGACCAGACAGAUUGGGACUGAGACACGGCCCAAACUCCUACGGGGGGCAGCAGCAAGGAAUUUUCGGCAAUGGGCGCAAGCCUGACCGAGCAACGCCGCGUGGAGGAUGACGGCUCUUGGGUUGUAAACUCCUUUUGGGGGGGACGAUAAUGACGGUACCCUCCGAAUCAGGCCCGGCUAACUACGUGCCAGCCGCCGCCGUAACAC
rnacentral:rRNA from 1 species